rnacentral:rRNA from 1 species
UACAGAGGUCUCAAGCGUUGUUCGGAUUCAUUGGGCGUAAAGGGCGCGUAGGCGGCUUGGCAAGUGGAAGGUGAAAUCCCUCGGCUUAACCGAGGAACUGCCCUCCAAACUGCUUUGCUUGAGGCCGGGAGAGGUGAGUGGAAUUCCCAGUGUAGCGGUGAAAUGCGUAGAUAUCUGGAGGAACAUCGGUGGCGAAGGCGGCAUCCUGGACCGGUAUUGACGCUGAGGCGCGAAAGCCAGGGGAGCAAACGGG